AAACUUUCAACAACGGAUCUCUUGGCUCUCGCAUCGAUGAAGAACGCAGCGAAAUGUGAUAAGUAAUGUGAAUUGCAGAAUUCAGUGAAUCAUCGAAUCUUUGAACGCAUCUUGCACUCUUUGGUAUUCCGAAGAGUAUGUCUGUUUGAGUGUCAUGA
rnacentral:rRNA from 1 species